UACGGAGGAUGCAAGCGUUAUCCGGAAUGAUUGGGCGUAAAGCGUCCGCAGGUGGCUAUGUAAGUCUGCUGUUAAAGAGUGAGGCUCAACCUCAUAAGAGCAGUGGAAACUACAUGGCUAGAGUGCGUUCGGGGCAGAGGGAAUUCCUGGUGUAGCGGUGAAAUGCGUAGAGAUUGGGAAGAACACCGGUGGCGAAAGCGCUCUGCUGGGUCAUAUCUGACACUGAGGGACGAAAGCUAGGGGAGCGAAAGGG
rnacentral:rRNA from 1 species